UUCUGGUGAGGGUUCCGAUUCUAAAGCAUAGAAAAAGCAGAUCCGUACCACAUUGGGUGAUGCGGGUUGCAGGAGAAUAUAUUCAGCCUGUGGUUGGGAAGUGAGAUUAAAAUAUGUACGAAAUAUAUACGGGAGAAAAAAGAGGAAAAAAACUAUAUUUACACUAUACAGGACGGGACAAGACAAAACACACGUCCGACUGCUACGCCAUCUUGGAAUACUAUGAAGUGAGUGAUGAAGGUGCAACCCAUAAUAAAUAGUGACACAUCCAUCCAGACCUGAGCCUGCCUGGCUGCCUGCAAACUGAUCCUCCUGUCUCUGUUCUGCUGUGAUCCUGUCUGCCUGCUAUGGAGCCGCACUGCGUCAAAUGGAAGUGAGGUAACUUUAAGAAGAGGCAGUAGGGGCAUCGGAGUCCCAGCUAUAAACUCCAGGCUCACUGCUAACAGAAUACGGAGGCCUAAAACUAUAUUGUAGUGAAGUGGAACAGAAAAGCGCAGCCUAUAGAAUGUGUAGCAAAUUGAAGUAACUUAGCAAUUGCAUUUUAUUUAUAAUAUUAUAGGACAAUACAUGUGUAACAUGAGCUUCUAGUGGGUGGGCUAUACUCGGCCUUGUCUCAGGAUGGUAAGUUGGUGGUUGAAGAUAUCCCUCUAGUGGUGUGGGGGCUGUGCUUUGGCAAAGUGGGUGGAGUUAUAUCCUUCCUGUUUGGCCCUGUCCGGGGGUAUCAUCGGAUGUGUCUCCUGACCCCUCCUGUCUCAGCCUCCAGUAUUUAUGCUGCAGUAGUUUGUGUCAGGGGGAUAGGGUCAGUUUGUUAUAUCUGGAGUACUUCUCCUGUCUUAUCCGGUGUCCUGUGUGAAUGUAAGUAUGCUCUCUCUAAUUCUCUUUCUCUCUUUCUUUUCUCUCUCUCGGAGGACCUGAGCCCUAAGACCAUGCCUCAGGACUACCUGGCAUGAUGACUCCUUGCUGUCCCCAGUCCACCUGGCCGUGCUGCUGCUCCAGUUUCAACUGUUCUGCCUGCGGCUAUGGAAUCAUGACCUGUUCACCGGACGUGCUACCUGUCCCAGACCUAUUAUUUGACCAUGCUGGUCAUUUAUAAACAUUUGAACAUCUUGGCCAUGUUCUGUUAUAAUCUCCACCCGGCACAGCCAGAAGAGGACUGGCCACCCCUCAUAGCCUGGUUCCUCUCUAGGUUUCGUCCUAGGUUUUGGCCUUUCUAGGGAGUUUUUCCUAGCCACCGUGCUUCAACACCUGCAUUGCUUGCUGUUUGGGGUUUUGGGCUGGGUUUCUGUACAGCACUUUGAGAUAUCAGCUGAUGUACAAAGAGCUAUAUAAAUACAUUUGUUUUGAUUUUCAUUUGAAUAGAGGUGCUAUUGUUAAAGUGUACAGUCCAAAUACAGGCCUAAGUAUGUUAAAUAGGCAUGUUAAAUCUAGAACAUCCGUAGAACACUCUCUAUUAAGCUUCUUUGUCCCCAAAAAUAUUUGGUUGCAUUUUAUUUAUGGCUUUAUUCAACCACAUUAGACAGUCUUAAAUACAUUCUCAGAACAAGAACAAAAGGCUCUGAUACUUUGGUAUCAGGUCACAGACAAAUGGUUACUGACAAAAGGUUAGGAUUUAGAGGUAAGUGAGACUGCUGUUGUCCCAGUCUAAUCUACAGUGCUAAUGGCAGUGUUGGUGAGAUGACUGUUUUGCUAUAGAGUGGUUAUAAUGGUUUAAAUCCUAAUCCACAAAAAGAGGACUUUUGUGGCUCAAAAAAGCAACAAGUACAAACAAAUGAAAAUGGAACAGAUUAUUUUUAACGUUCAUACACCCGUCAACUGCAACAGCUGGUGUGUUAAGUGCAGUAUGUGGCAGUGUUGUACGUUAGUGAGUUCAAGGCCUAUAUUCAUAAAGUGUCUCAGAGUUGGAGUGCUGAUCUAGGAUCAGUUUGGCCUUUUAAAUCAUAAUGAAUGAGAGGGAGGGACCUGAUCCUAGAUCAGCACUCUUACUCUGAGAUUCUUUGAGAAUACGGGCCCAGAAUGUCUUACUGUACCUUACUGAAGUCCACAGCACUGUUCUCUCUGCUGACAUCAGCUUUGCCGUCAUUGGGGAUGGGUAGAGAGGUCUGGGGAGGAAUCACCUGACCUGGAACACAAAGAGAGGAAGGAGUCCAAUAAGUCAACUACUGAGCCCUCUAUAUCAGACCAACAUCAAGGUUUCACAGCAGUGCAGGUGCCAAUGGUAAUAAAGCACAAUGUCACACAGAGACACAGAGACAGAGAGAGCACUCUUGGGAUACCAAAAUGACCAACAGUGCUUUAGAUAUCUAUAGAUUUGCACUGAAAUGGUGAUGUAAUCUGGGAUUUAUCAGACAUUGACAAAGUACCCUUAUUUAGUGCAGAUCCCAAGAGAGGACUGAAGAUAAAGCCUAAGAGUGGCUGCAUGGGGGAGGAUGGGAGUCAUAGAUGGCCUUGGUGAGGAUGGGUGGGCAAAGCUUGUCCAUUAGGAUUUCAGCAUGAUCAUUUUAGCAUUAUCAUUGUGUCAAGGAGACUGACUGAUGCAAACAGGAAAUUAGCCCACAGCUGCCAGAGUAGAGCAAAAGGAUUUAAAUCGGAAGGAUUACUUUUUAUUUGCGAGAGGGCACAGAUUAAUACUAAUUUCAGUGUUUGAUCCGUUCACAAGCCAGCAGAAACGAUCAGAUGCAAAUCGAAUUAAUCAGAAAUAAAAGCAUGCCUUGCAAUGAUUCAUUUUGACUCAUAGUUCCACAUGAACUCAACGAGAGAAGCCUCAAGCUAUUUACCAAGCUGGCUGCCCAUGAAGAAACACCACAGCCUCUUUAGCUUUAAAUGGCAUUACUUGCAAUGAGUAGGAGGGUGCCCUCACUAACAUGGCCCUGGUUUUGUUCAUUAGUCCCACACUCGCUGUUUGCCGCUCUUUAAUGUAGCUUUUGGAUAAACAGUCUACCUAAAUGAAUGUGCCUGUGUCACACCACUCUGAAUAAAAUUACAGCAGAGUGACUCGCUAAAAGGGUUUUGGGUGGUCUUCGUGUAUCAAAAUUGCCAUGUGGAAUGCUGGCAAACUUGCUUCUCGAAACAUAAUUCCUGUAAAAGGUGAUGGACAUUCUGAAUAAGGUCAUUCCUUGUUAUCGGUGAACCCUGCUGCUCAGGGUCUUUUCUCUUCUGAAUGUUUCCCUGUCCACAUCUUCUACACUGAUCACACCUUAUCUCCAUAUUUUCAAUUCUGAUAUUAAAAACAUAUAACUCAA